ACGGAAGGCGCAGUGGGGAAUAUUGGACAGUGGGGGAAACCCUGAUCCAGCGACGCCGCGUGAGUGAAGAAGUAUUUCGGUAUGUAAAGCUCUAUCAGCAAGGAAGAAAAUGACGGUACUUGACUAAGAAGCUCCGGCUAAAUACGUGCCAGCAGCCGCGGUAAUACGUAUAGAGCAAGCGUUAUCCGGAUUUACUGGGUGUAAAGGGAGCGUAGACGGCAAAGCAAGUCUGAAGUGAAAUGCCGGGGCUUAACCCCGGAACUGCUUUGGAAACUGUUUAGCUAGAGUGCGGGAGAGGUAAGCGGAAUUCCUAGUGUAGCGGUGAAAUGCGUAGAUAUUAGGAGGAACACCAGUGGCGAAGGCGGCUUACUGGACUGUAACUGACGUUGAGGCUCGAAAGCGUGGGGAGCAAACAGGAUUAGAUACCCUGGUA
rnacentral:rRNA from 1 species